rnacentral:rRNA from 1 species
UACGUAGGGUGCAAGCGUUGUCCGGAAUUAUUGGGCGUAAAGAGCUCGUAGGCGGUUUGUCGCGUCUGCUGUGAAAACUCGGGGCUUAACCCCGGGCCUGCACCCGAUACGGGCGGGCUAGAGUUCGGCAGGGGAGACUGGAAUUCCUGGUGUAGCGGUGGAAUGCGCAGAUAUCAGGAGGAACACCGGUGGCGAAGGCGGGUCUCUGGGCUGAUACUGACGCUGAGAAGCGAAAGCGUGGGGAGCGAACAGG